AUAUUUCGGAACUGAGUCUAGUUCCUUCGAUAUCAAUGCAAUCUAGUCAUACCAACACAGAAAAAUUCAUAUUACUAGAUUGCAUUGAUAUCGAAGGAACUAGACUCAGUUCCGAAAUAU